rnacentral:rRNA from 1 species
AGCAGCCGCCGCGGGAAUACAGAGGAUGCAAGCGUUAUCCGGAAUUAUUGGGCGUAAAGGGCUCGCAGGCGGUUUCUUAAGUCUGAUGUGAAAGCCCCCGGCUCAACCGGGGAGGGUCAUUGGAAACUGGGAAACUUGAGUGCAGAAGAGGAGAGUGGAACUCCACGUGUAGCGGUGAAAUGCGUAGAGAUGUGGAGGAACACCAGUGGCGAAGGCGACUCUCUGGUCUGUAACUGACGCUGAGGAGCGAAAGCGUGGGGAGCGAACAGGAUUAGAUACCCGUGUAGUCCCUGUCUCUUAUAC